rnacentral:rRNA from 1 species
UUCCCGUACUUGGUGUUACUGCGAAGGGGGGACGGAGAAGGCUAUGUUGGCCGGGCGACGGUUGUCCCGGUUUAAGCGUGUAGGUGUGUGUUCCAGGUAAAUCCGGUUCACUUUAACACUGAGGCGUGAUGACGAGGCACUACGGUGCUGAAGCAACAAAUGCCCUGCUUCCAGGAAAAGCCUCUAAGCAUCAGGUAACAUCAAAUCGUACCCCAAACCGACACAGGUGGUCAGGUAGAGAAUACCAAGGCGCUUGAGAGAACUCGGGUGAAGGAACUAGGCAAAAUGGUGCCGUAACUUCGGGAGAAGGCACGCUGACACGUAGGUGAAGUGAUUUACUCAUGGAGCUGAAGUCAGUCGAAGAUACCAGCUGGCUGCAACUGUUUAUUAAAAACACAGCACUGUGCAAACACGAAAGUGGACGUAUACGGUGUGACGCCUGCCCGGUGCCGGAAGGUUAAUUGAUGGGGUCAGCGCAAGCGAAGCUCCUGAUCGAAGCCCCGGUAAACGGCGGCCGUAACUAUAACGGUCCUAAGGUAGCGAAAUUCCUUGUCGGGUAAGUUCCGACCUGCACGAAUGGCGUAAUGAUGGCCAGGCUGUCUCCACCCGAGACUCAGUGAAAUUGAACUCGCUGUGAAGAUGCAGUGUACCCGCGGCAAGACGGAAAGACCCCGUGAACCUUUACUAUAGCUUGACACUGAACAUUGAGCCUUGAUGUGUAGGAUAGGUGGGAGGCUUUGAAGUGUGGACGCCAGUCUGCAUGGAGCCGACCUUGAAAUACCACCCUUUAAUGUUUGAUGUUCUAACGUGGACCCGUGAUCCGGGUUGCGGACAGUGUCUGGUGGGUAGUUUGACUGGGGCGGUCUCCUCCUAAAGAGUAACGGAGGAGCACGAAGGUUGGCUAAUCCUGGUCGGACAUCAGGAGGUUAGUGCAAUGGCAUAAGCCAGCUUGACUGCGAGCGUGACGGCGCGAGCAGGUGCGAAAGCAGGUCAUAGUGAUCCGGUGGUUCUGAAUGGAAGGGCCAUCGCUCAACGGAUAAAAGGUACUCCGGGGAUAACAGGCUGAUACCGCCCAAGAGUUCAUAUCGACGGCGGUGUUUGGCACCUCGAUGUCGGCUCAUCACAUCCUGGGGCUGAAGUAGGUCCCAAGGGUAUGGCUGUUCGCCAUUUAAAGUGGUACGCGAGCUGGGUUUAGAACGUCGUGAGACAGUUCGGUCCCUAUCUGCCGUGGGCGCUGGAGAACUGAGGGGGGCUGCUCCUAGUACGAGAGGACCGGAGUGGACGCAUCACUGGUGUUCGGGUUGUCAUGCCAAUGGCACUGCCCGGUAGCUAAAUGCGGAAGAGAUAAGUGCUGAAAGCAUCUAAGCACGAAACUUGCCCCGA